rnacentral:rRNA from 1 species
UGGGCAACCUGCCCUUGACUCCGGAAUAACAGCUGGAAACAGCUGCUAAUACCGGAUACGACCUCCGAUGGCAUCAUCUGGAGGUGGAAAGCUCCGGCGGUCAAGGAUGGGCUCGCGGCCUAUCAGCUUGUUGGUGAGGUAACGGCUCACCAAGGCUUCGACGGGUAGCCGGCCUGAGAGGGCGACCGGCCACACUGGGACUGAGAUACGGCCCAGACCUCCUACGGGAGCAG